AAAAAAAAGAGUUUGAUCUUGGCUCAGAAUCAACGCUGGCGGCGUGCCUCAGACAUGCAAGUCGAACGAUUAAGACUUCCUUCGGGAAGUGCAUAAAGUGGCGCACGGGUGAGUAACACGUAAGUAAUCUACCCUCGAGUGGGGAAUAACGUUCGGAAACGAACGCUAAUACCGCAUAAUGCAGCGGCAUCGUAAGAUGACAGUUGUUAAAGGAGUAAUUCGCUUGAGGAGGAGCUUGCGGCAGAUUAGCUAGUUGGUAAGGUAACGGCUUACCAAGGCUACGAUCUGUAUCCGGUCUAAGAGGACGGUCGGACACACUGACACUGAAUAACGGGUCAGACUCCUACGGGAGGCAGCAGUCGGGAAUUUUGGGCAAUGGGCGAAAGCCUGACCCAGCAACGCCGCGUGAAGGAUGAAGUAUUUCGGUAUGUAAACUUCGAAAGAAUGGGAAGAAUAAAUGACGGUACCAUUUAUAAGCUCCGGCUAACUACGUGCCAGCAGCCGCCGU
rnacentral:rRNA from 1 species